UACGGAGGGUGCAAGCGUUAAUCGGAAUUACUGGGCGUAAGCGUGCGUAGGCGGUUCGUUAAGUCUGUUGUGAAAGCCCCGGGCUCAACCUGGGAAUGGCAAUGGAUACUGGCGAGCUAGAGUGUGUCAGAGGAUGGUGGAAUUCCCGGUGUAGCGGUGGAAAUGCGUAGAGAUCGGGAGGAACAUCAGUGGCGAAGGCGGCCAUCUGGGACAACGACUGACG
rnacentral:rRNA from 1 species